CCUACGGGUGGCAGCAGUGGGGAAUAUUGCUCAAUGGACGAAACUCUGAACCAGCCAAGCAGCGUGGAGGAUGACUGCCCUCUGGGUGGUAAACUUUUUUUAUAGGGGAAUAAAAUGUUGCACGUGUGGGAUUUUGUAUGUACCAUAUGAAUAAGGAUCGGCUAACUCCGUGCCAGCAGCCGCGGUAAUACGGAGGAUCCGAGCGUUAUACGGAUUUAGUGGGGUUAAAGGGAGCGUAGGUGGAUUGUUAAGUCAGUUGUGAAAGUUUGCGGCUCAACCGUAAAAUUGCAGUUGAAACUGGCAGUCUUGAGUACAGUAGAGGUGGGUGGAAUUCGUGGUGUAGGGGUGAAAUGCGUAGAUAUCACGAAGAAUUCUGAUUGCGAAGGCAGUUCACUGGACUGCAACUGACACUGAGGCUCGAAAGUGUGGGUAUCAAACAGGAUUAGAUACCCCAGUAGUC
rnacentral:rRNA from 1 species